UACAGAGGUCUCAAGCGUUGUUCGGAUUCAUUGGGCGUAAAGGGUGCGUAGGCGGCGCGGUAAGUCGGGUGUGAAAUCUCGGAGCUUAACUCCGAAACUGCAUUCGAUACUGCCGUGCUUGAGGACUGGAGAGGAGACUGGAAUUCACGGUGUAGCAGUGAAAUGCGUAGAUAUCGUGAGGAAGACCAGUGGCGAAGGCGGGUCUCUGGACAGUUCCUGACGCUGAGGCACGAAGGUCAGGGGAGCAAACGGG
rnacentral:rRNA from 1 species